AGCCCCCCGAGUGGUGGGGAUGUUUAUUUGGCCUAAAACGUCCGUAGCCAGCUAGGUAAAUCUCUCGUUAAAUCCAGCGUCCUAAGCGUUGGGCUGCGAGAGAGACUGCCAAGCUAGAGGGUGGGAGAGGUCAGCGGUAUUUCUGGGGUAGGGGCGAAAUCCAUUGAUCCCAGGAGGACCACCAGUGGCGAAGGCUGCUGACUAGAACACGCCUGACGGUGAGGGACGAAAGCUGGGGUAGCGAAUCGGAUUAGAUACCCGUGUAGUCC
rnacentral:rRNA from 1 species